rfam:Schistosoma curassoni strain Dakar, Senegal genome assembly, scaffold: SCTD_scaffold0006231
AUCCAGAUGACGAGUUCUGAAUAGAACGAAACGAACAUCCUGGAU